UGAGUACGACGGAGCACGUGAAAUUCCGUCGGAAUCUGGGAGGACCAUCUCCUAAGGCUAAAUACUCUCUAGUGACCGAUAGUGAACCAGUACCGUGAGGGAAAGGUGAAAAGUACCCCGGAAGGGGAGUGAAAGAGAACUUGAAACCGUGUGCUUACAAGUAGUCAGAGCCCGUUAAUGGGUGAUGGCGUGCCUUUUGUAGAAUGAACCGGCGAGUUACGAUCUGAUGCAAGGUUAAGCAGAAAAUGUGGAGCCGUAGCGAAAGCGAGUCUGAAUAGGGCGAAUGAGUAUUUGGUCGUAGACCCGAAACCAGGUGAUCUACCCUUGGUCAGGUUGAAGUUCAGGUAACACUGAAUGGAGGACCGAACCGACUUACGUUGAAAAGUGAGCGGAUGAACUGAGGGUAGCGGAGAAAUUCCAAUCGAACUUGGAGAUAGCUGGUUCUCUCCGAAAUAGCUUUAGGGCUAGCCUCAAGUGAUGAUUAUUGGAGGUAGAGCACUGUUUGGACGAGGGGCCCCUCUCGGGUUACCGAAUUCAGACAAACUCCGAAUGCCAAAUAAUUUAACUUGGGAGUCAGAAUGUGGGUGAUAAGGUCCAUAUUCGAAAGGGAAACAGCCCAGACCACCAGCUAAGGUCCCAAAAUAUAUGUUAAGUGGAAAAGGAUGUGGCGUUGCCCAGACAACUAGGAUGUUGGCUUAGAAGCAGCCAUCAUUUAAAGAGUGCGUAAUAGCUCACUAGUCGAGUGACACUGCGCCGAAAAUGUACCGGGGCUAAACAUAUUACCGAAGCUGUGGAUUGUCCUUUGGACAAU
rnacentral:rRNA from 1 species